AGGUAAGCUACUAAGAGCGAAUGGUGGAUGCCUUGACUGGUAAAGGCGAUGAAGGACGUACUAGACUGCGAUAAGCUACGGGGAGCUGUCAAGAAGCUUUGAUCCGUAGAUUUCCGAAUGGGGCAACCCAAUGUAUAGAGAUAUACAUUACCUAUAUAGGAGCGAACGAGGGGAAUUGAAACAUCUUAGUACCCUCAGGAAAAGAAAUCAAUAGAGAUUGCGUCAGUAGCGGCGAGCGAAAGCGCAAGAGGGCAAACCCAGUGCUUGCACUGGGGGUUGUAGGACUGCAAUGUGCAAGAGGUAAGUUUAGCAGAACAUUCUGGAAAGUAUAACCAUAGAGGGUGAUAGUCCCGUAUGCGAAAAACAAACCUUAGCUAGCAGUAUCCUGAGUAGGGCGGGACACGAGGAAUCCUGUCUGAAUCCGGGUCGACCACGAUCCAACCCUAAAUACUAAUACCAGAUCGAUAGUGCACAAGUACCGUGAGGGAAAGGUGAAAAGAACUGAGGUGAUCAGAGUGAAAUAGAACCUGAAACCAUUUGCUUACAAUCAUUCAGAGCCCUAUGUAGCAAUACAGGGUGAUGGACUGCCUUUUGCAUAAUGAGCCUGCGAGUUGUGGUGUCUGGCAAGGUUAAGCAAACGCGAAGCCGUAGCGAAAGCGAGUCUGAAUAGGGCGCUUAGUCAGAUGCUGCAGACCCGAAACGAAGUGAUCUAUCCAUGAGCAAGUUGAAGCUAGUGUAAGAACUAGUGGAGGACUGAACCCAUAGGCGUUGAAAAGCCCCGGGAUGACUUGUGGAUAGGGGUGAAAGGCCAAUCAAACUUCGUGAUAGCUGGUUCUCUCCGAAAUAUAUUUAGGUAUAGCGUUGUGUCGUAAUAUAAGGGGGUAGAGCACUGAAUGGGCUAGGGCAUACACCAAUGUACCAAACCCUAUCAAACUCCGAAUACCUUAUAUGUAAUCACAGCAGUCAGGCGGCGAGUGAUAAAAUCCGUCGUCAAGAGGGAAACAACCCAGACUACCAGCUAAGGUCCCUAAGUCUUACUUAAGUGGAAAACGAUGUGAAGUUACUUAAACAACCAGGAGGUUGGCUUAGAAGCAGCCAUCCUUUAAAGAAAGCGUAAUAGCUCACUGGUCUAGUGAUUUUGCGCGGAAAAUAUAACGGGGCUAAAGU
rnacentral:rRNA from 1 species